rnacentral:tRNA from 1 species
GCCGAAGUGGUGGAAUUGGCAGACGCGUCGGACUCAAAAUCCGAUGGUAGCGAUACCGUGUGGGUUCAAGUCCCACCUUCGGCACCA